CAGUAGCCACGGUAAUACGGAGGGUGCAAGCGUUAUCCGGAUUCACUGGGUUUAAAGGGUGCGUAGGCGGAUCUGUAAGUCAGUGGUGAAAUCUCCAGGCUUAACCUGGAAACUGCCGUUGAUACUAUAGGUCUUGAAUUUUGUGGAGGUUAGCGGAAUAUGUCAUGUAGCGGUGAAAUGCAUAGAUAUGACAUAGAACACCAAUUGCGAAGGCAGCUGGCUACACAACUAUUGACGCUGAGGCACGAAAGCGUGGGGAUCAAACAGGAUUAGAUACCCCCGUAGUCCCUGUCUCUUAUAA
rnacentral:rRNA from 1 species